rnacentral:rRNA from 1 species
AUUGAACGCUGGCGGCAUGCCUUACACAUGCAAGUCGAACGGUAACAGGUCUUCGGAUGCUGACGAGUGGCGAACGGGUGAGUAAUACAUCGGAACGUGCCCGAUCGUGGGGGAUAACGAAGCGAAAGCUUUGCUAAUACCGCAUACGAUCUACGGAUGAAAGCGGGGGAUCGCAAGACCUCGCGCGGACGGAGCGGCCGAUGGCAGAUUAGGUAGUUGGUGGGAUAAAAGCUUACCAAGCCGACGAUCUGUAGCUGGUCUGAGAGGACGACCAGCCACACUGGGACUGAGACACGGCCCAGACUCCUACGGGAGGCAGCAGUGGGGAAUUUUGGACAAUGGGCGCAAGCCUGAUCCAGCAAUGCCGCGUGCAGGAUGAAGGCCUUCGGGUUGUAAACUGCUUUUGUACGGAACGAAAAGGUGCUGGUUAAUACCUGGCGCAUAUGACGGUACCGUAAGAAUAAGCACCGGCUAACUACGUGCCAGCCGCCGCAGUAACAC